rnacentral:rRNA from 1 species
UACGGAGGGGGCUAGCGUUGUUCGGAAUUACUGGGCGUAAAGCGCACGUAGGCGGCUUUGUAAGUUAGAGGUGAAAGCCCAGGGCUUAACCCUGGAAUUGCCUUUAAGACUGCAUCGCUAGAAUCGUGGAGAGGUGAGUGGAAUUCCGAGUGUAGAGGUGAAAUUCGUAGAUAUUGGGAAGAACACCGGUGGCGAAGGCGGCGACCUGGUCCGAUACUGACGCUGAGGCGCGAAAGCGUGGGGAGCAAACAGG